AGCUUUGUGCAGUGGCAGGAUCAUAGCCAGUGAGGUUUCUCCAGGCGAGAUAUUGCUCACUGAAAAUUAUUUACAACACUCCGGCGUGACAUCCUGCGGUAUAGUCAGUAUUGGCAUUUUUUAACAGUCUCUACGGGGA